rnacentral:tRNA from 1 species
CAUUAAGAAGCUAAUAGCACCAGCCUUUUAAGUUGGAGAUUGAGAGUUUAAAUCUUUCCUUAAUGA